rnacentral:lncRNA from 1 species
UGACCCGACCAAAACAGCAACACAUCAAAACACACACACAACCCUAAAUCGCAACCAAAACACACACACUCAGCAACACACACACACACCAACAAACACGGCAACAACUUCAACUCUGACGAAGGCGAUGACGACAGCAACACACGCACGACGACGGCGACCUUUGUUCUACUGGUAAAUUUCUUUUCCCUUUUUAAUCUUUUCUUUUUUCUUUCUAAAUCUUGAACUUUACUUAUUAUUGCAAUAUUUUUCCACAUUUCUUGACUUAUUAUUGCAACUUCAAAGUACAAAAGGAAUAUAAUUCUACCAAACUUUUUGUUAAUUUAUAUAAUUUUUAUGGCUCUUUAUAUAUUUUUAUGAUAUGGGUGUGGGUAAAAAUUGGAUCUUGAUGAACCUUUUUGCUUGUAUUUUUUUGUGUAGUUUGACUUAGGUGUGUGUAAAAAUCGGAUCUUGAUUUAGAAAAUGCUACAAAAAGGAGAAAAAAAGAUAUAUUCCUCCACUAAAAUAUUAGUUGUAGUUGAUUUGAAAAUUAACAUUUACAAAUAAUUGAUUGAUUCAAGUAGCAGAUUAGAAAAAUAGCAAGACUAUAAAGCAACAAGACAUGUAACAAACAACAAAACUUGGGUCUACGCGCCUAAAGAACUAUUAUUGUUGCUUGAAUCUCAAUGAGAUUGAAUAUGGUUGUGAAACUAAGCAGUAGCCCAUAAUUUUAUUAGCCAAUUUUGUCUAUCUACUGAACAAAAGUUUUGAUCCUCUAAGAUUAUGUUAGCAUUUAAAUAAUUUGACCACUUGAAUGGACGAAGGAAUAUCCCUUGUUAAAAGAGAAAUAACAAAUUUUUUUCUUUUUUCGAGAGAAUUCAUAUUCGAAAAAGGAUUGCUUUGCUAUUUUUCGGUGACCUCUUAUCUCUUUCUCUUUAAUUUAGGCUAAGCAAAGGUAAGUUGAUCUCUCUCCAUUUUCGUAUAAUGAAGUCUUUAAACGUAUUUUAGUUUGAGAUUAUUUGUUGUAGAAGGCUUUGAAAGCCAUAGGAAUUUUGUGAUGAUUAUAUGGUGUGAGAGAAACGUACAACGCCUCUACUUAUUUGCUUUAUUACACUUGUUCACUUGUUUGACUUAUACUAUAAAUGAAUAUGUAGCUUGAAAGUGAUUAAGUGUAGUUACUUGAAGGUGAAAUUUUAUUUUGAAUUUUGUGAGGUGACUUAGUGACUUAAAAUUGAUAAAGCGUAGGUAUUUGAAAGGUGAAUUUUUAUUUUGAAUGUAGCUUAGUUUGGUGACUUGGGAGGUGACUUAGUGACUUGAAAUUGAUUAAGUGUAGGUACUUGAAAUGUGAAUUUUGUUUUUGAAUGUAGCUUAGUUUGGUAACUUGGGAGGUAACUUAGUGACUUGAAAUUGAUUAACUGUAGGUACUUGAAAUGUAAAUUUUUGUUUUGAAUGUAGUUUAGUUUAGUAAAUUGGUAGGUGACUUAGUGACUUGAAAUUGAUUAAGUGUAGGUACUUGAAAGGUAAAUUUUUGUUUUGAAUGUAGUUUAGUUUGGUAACUUGUGAGGUGACUUAGUCACUUGAAAUUGAUUAAGUGUAGCUACUUGAAAGGUGAAUUUUUGUUUUGAAUUUAUUUUAGUUUGGUGAAUUGGUAGGUGACUUAGUGACUUGAAAUUGAUUAAGUGUAAGCACUUGAAGGGUGAAUUUUUGUUUUGAAUGUAGUUUAGUUUGAUAACUUGUGAGAUGACUUGGUCACUUGAAAUUGAUUAAGUGUAGGUACUUGGAAUGUGAAUUGAUCAUUUUGAAUGUAGUUUAGUUUGGUGACUUGGGAGGUGACUUAUUGACUUGAAAUUGAUUAAGUGUAGGUACUUGAAAUGUGAAUUUUUGUUUUGAAUGUAGUUUAGUUUGGUGACUUGGGAGGCGACUUAGUGACUUGAAAAUGUUGAAGUUUAGGUACUUGAAAUGUGAAUUUAUCAUUUUGAAUGUAGUUUAGUUUGGUUACUUGGGAGGUGACUUACUGACUUGAAAUUGAUUAAGUGUAGGUACUUGAAAUGUGAAUUUUUGUUUUGAAUGUAGUUUAGUUUGUGACUUGGGAGGUGACUUAGUGACUUGAAAAUGAUAAAUUUUAGGUACUUGAAAUGUGAAUUUAUCAUUUUGAAUGUAGUUUAGUUUGGUGACUUAGUGACUUGAAAUGUGACUUUUUCAUUUUGAAUUUAGGUACUUGAAAUGUGAACUUUUAUGACUUGAACUAAUUACUUGAAUCUGAUUGAUUGUGUAGAUGGAACUUGAUUAUAGCUGGAUAUAUCAACGGAAUAAUGAUAAUAGAAUGGGUCUUAGGGUAGAAUUUGUUCAAGGUGUCAAUCGAUUUGUUGAACAUGCUAAGACACUUGAUGUGUAACGCCCCGAAAUCGGAUCCCGAGAUGUCACACGGUGCUUAGGAUCACAAGUGACCCCAAGCUAACCCUUCUAUUGGCAUAACUCAUAAGCAAUUGAACAAAAAGUAUAAAUCUAUACAAAUUUGUGGUAAAUAACUCUUUUCUGAAUAUGAUAGAUACAAAACUAAAUUUACAAGAUUACAACUCUGCUUUUACAACCAAAACUGGAACGAAAUACAUCAACUUCUACUGACUGUCUAUGAAGGCUCUACUAGUACUGACUAUAGGUAGCCGGGUCAUGACUCCCGACUAUCCCAACUCAAUACGACUGAAUAAAGAAAAUACAACACUAUUAGUUCUGCAUAACUGGCCCAAGCCCUUGAAUCAAAAGGACUCAUCACUUGCUGACUGGAUACCACGAACUGACUAGAUCUGAAGAUGCAUACUAUACCUUGUACCUACAUUUCGAGAAAAUGUAGCCCACAUAUAAAUAUGUGGGUCAAUACCAUGGAAACGUACUGAGCAUAUGGGGGUGCAAUGCAUAUAUAAAAUAAUAUUUUAAUAUUAUCUCAGUUUAUAAAACUAUGCAUGCUGAUAUAAAUGACUCACUUAACUCGAAUUAAAUCAUCGAAAUCAUGGAUGAAUAAAAUACAUGUAAAGUAAAACAAGCGAGUCAUUACAAUAAGUUCUCAAUUCACUUCUUCCUUGGUUUCAAACAUAUAGAGUAAUCAAGUUUCAAAACAAGUCUCUUUAGAAUAUAUAGUCUUUAAAUCUUUCAAAAACAAUGACUUUCUCAAACUCAAUAUUUCAAGCAAUUAUAUUUUCAUCUCAGAUAGAAGAAUACACACACACACUUACAACCGACAUAAACCAUGUGAGCUACAUGGAGUCCAACGUUCUACCCACGUUGGGGAGAGUCUUCCUAUUCCUUGCCAUCGGAGUAGGACCUUAAAUCAUCAAUCCAAACACUAGUGAUCACUAUAUAAAUCAGCCUCAGACUCACAUCCUACAGGGGCAUGUAAUUCUAGGGAAGUACCAAAACAGUUAUACCUCCUGCUCGAUGCUAAAGACUACUCCCGAACUUAGCUCAUAUCUUUUCAAAAGAAAAUCCACUAAUAAACAGUUCAACAAUUCACAACGGGAGCCAUCUUGCUACCCUUUUCAUAAUAAUCAAUAAAAGUGGAUUUCUUUUCUCAUCUUGGGUUCAAAAACAAUUCUUCCCCGACCAUCAAGGUCAAAUCAUUCUUCAUCAUCUCAAAUCAUUCAAAUCUCAAGGUGUUUAUAACACAUACUUCACAAAAUAAUAAUCUUAAAUAGAGCUCAAAACCCAUACAUCAAUAUCACAAUAAAACCUUUCAAAGUUUCAUACUUUAUGUCAUAAGCAUAAAAAUAAUCACUUAAAAAUCAAAAUUUCAGCUUUAUAGGCAACCAUGUCAAUAUUCUCAUGAAAACAUCAUAAGUCAUAAAUUCAUAUAUUCGAAUUCGUAGUAAAGCAUAUCAAAUCAUAUAUAUUUGUAAAGAAAAUUAACUUUGGGCACAAGAACGAAAGAAUGUUCUUGUUCAAAAAAAAACCCCACAUACCUUGAAAUUGAAGCUUUGAAUGAACUCUUAACCUUGGGACUCUAUUCGUGAAAAUAAUAGGUGCUCCUUGUAGCCCUCGGAAUGGGGAUUUCGAACCUCAAAGAAUUAUUGAAAACUCAUGGUUGAGUCUUUAGAUAUUUGAAUUUUUAGGUUGAAACCCUAAUGAAUUUUCUUGGUGAUUUUGAGAGAAAGUAAACUUAUUUUGGUGUUAUGGGAGUUUAAUCCCGAGUUAUAGACAUAAAUAGAGGUGUUUUUGGCACUAGGAAGUGAGGUAUGCAGCGCACAACCCAUGGUAGACCUUAAGGUGUGUGUCGCACACCUUAUGGCAGACAUUUAAGUGUGCCUCGCACUCCCAAUCACACACAUUUGAUUGGGCGAUGCAUUGCCCAUCGCACACCCUUACUACCUCUCACAAAAAUUGGCAUAACUCUUCGCUCGGGUAUCGAAUUUUUGCGAAAUUGGUAUAUUUGGAAAGUUAAUUCAAUUAUCUACAAUUUGAUAGGUCUCAAGAUGAAAAAUUCCAUGUAUAUUAAGAGAUAUUAAUGUUUGAAUUUGACCCUUGUAGAAUCGAAUGUCAAACUUUGGAUGAAUCAAUUGGUCUUAGCUCAACCUUGUUCUAGGUCAUUGCUAUAAAUAUUUUUCACCUCUAAAUUACUCCAUAGACUAGAAUAAUGAUCAUGCAACUUGUAUUCACGUGAGAAUCACUUGGAUUAGAGCUUAGAUGCGCAGGAACGACGGUUAGAAUUCUAGCACGAAAAUACGGGGUAUUACAUGAUGCUUGGUCACGUUUUUUGGGCUAUUCAUUGUCCUUGUGUUAGAUGUGAUGGUACAAUUCUUUUAAAAGAAGAAGUUGUGAAGGAACAUCUUUAUAGAAGGGGGUUUCUGAAGAAGUUGUGAAGGGACAUCUUUAUGAUAAGUGUAUGCAUCCUUUGCAACAUGGUUUGCAUAUGGGGUUCGUAAGUGUACUAAUAUUUCUAUAAAUUUUAAACAUUUACACAAUCUUCAGCUAACAUAUACAUUUUUAGUGUGUGUGUGUGUGUAAUAUUUUUAGGUACACUAGUCACCAACUACGGCCGCAUACGAUCAGUUCUUGAGAGAUAUUUCUUUGGGACUAUUUGAAGCUCGUACAAUAUCCCAUUACACAGUAAAUGAGUUUAAAUUUCCCAUCGAAGAACACUCCAAAACAAGAGAAACAAACAAUAGUGGUGUUUGGAUUAAGGGUGAUGAUAAUGUUGAUUACUUUAGCAUCAUACAAAAGAUCUUAGAAAUGGAGUAUACAGGGUUGCCAAUAAAAAAAAAUUGUCCUCUUUCGAUAUAAGUGGCUUGAUCCAAGAACAAGAGGCACAAGAGUACAUAAGGAGCAUAACAUCAUUGAAGUGAAACACAAUAGACCGUAUCUUGUUUACGAUCCCUUUGUUCUCAUGCAAAAUGCUAAACAAGUGUAUUAUGAUCCUUAUCCGUUGAGCAGUGAUAAGUCUGAUUGGUGGAAUGUAAUCAAAACAAAGCCUAUAGGAUGAGUGUAAGUUUAGAAUGUGUUAGAGACUUCAUAUCAAAAUGAAAUGCAGAUUGAUCGCCAGUUAGUAGACAUUGAUUUAGUGGAUAGUUUGAACCAUCCGAAAUAUAUUUGAAGAAGUUAAUAUUGUAGAAGAAGAGUCUAAGUGGGUAAGAGAUGAGGAAACUUUGAAGAGGGUGAAUGGUUUAGUGGAGAAUCUUCGGGAGAGGAGGAUUAGGUUGCGUAGGUUGUAUUUGUUAUGUAUUGAUGUCUUUAUGCUUUGUACUAUUUACCUUUAUGUUUUUUGUUUAAUAUUGAUAUGUAAUAUACUGUGUAAGAUUUUCGUUGUCACUUUUCCAUCUUUAAUGCAGUAGUAGAAGUAUUCUUGUCUAUCUCGUGUUGUUGGAGCAAGCUGAAACUUGCUAUGGUUAUGUAACUAUUGUACUGGUGUUUUAAUACUGAUUUAGUGACUUGAAAUUAGUUAUAUGGAAUGUUUUCUUAUAUAUUCAUUUUGUAAAGACUAACUACUUGUUAACUUUACAUAAUUUAGAUGGCAGGUAAAGGUGACAAAUGUAAGCAAAAAGUUGAUCAUAUAAAGACAAAAAAAAAAAAAAAAACCUCUGCCUUAUAGACGACCG